GGACCGGAGCGGACGAACCUCUGGUGUUCCGGUUGUGGCGCCAGCCGCAUCGCCGGGUAGCUAUGUUCGGAAGGGAUAACCGCUGAAAGCAUCUAAGCGGGAAGCCCACCUCAAGAAAGAUUUCCCUGGGGGCUCAGACCCCCCUGAAGGUCUCAGGCAGACUACCUGUUUGAUAGGCGGGAUGUGAAAGCGUGGUAACACGUGAAGCUGACCCGUACUAAGUGACCGUGAGGCUUGACUUC
rnacentral:rRNA from 1 species